rnacentral:rRNA from 1 species
CCUACGGGAGGCAGCAGUGAGGAAUAUUGGUCAAUGGGCGCAGGCCUGAACCAGCCAAGUAGCGUGAAGGAUGACUGCCCUAUGGGUUGUAAACUUCUUUUAUAAAGGAAUAAAGUCGGGUAUGUAUACCCGUUUGCAUGUACUUUAUGAAUAAGGAUCGGCUAACUCCGUGCCAGCAGCCGCGGUAAUACGGAGGAUCCGAGCGUUAUCCGGAUUUAUUGGGUUUAAAGGGAGCGUAGAUGGAUGUUUAAGUCAGUUGUGAAAGUUUGCGGCUCAACCGUAAAAUUGCAGUUGAUACUGGAUAUCUUGAGUGCAGUUGAGGCAGGCGGAAUUCGUGGUGUAGCGGUGAAAUGCUUAGAUAUCACGAAGAACUCCGAUUGCGAAGGCAGCCUGCUAAGCUGCAACUGACAUUGAGGCUCGAAAGUGUGGGUAUCAAACAGGAUUAGAUACCCUGGUAGUCCACACGGUAAACGAUGAAUACUCGCUGUUUGCGAUAUACAGCAAGCGGCCAAGCGAAAGCGUUAAGUAUUCCACCUGGGGAGUACGCCGGCAACGGUGAAACUCAAAGGAAUUGACGGGGGCCCGCACAAGCGGAGGAACAUGUGGUUUAAUUCGAUGAUACGCGAGGAACCUUACCCGGGCUUAAAUUGCAGAUGAAUUACGGUGAAAGCCGUAAGCCGCAAGGCAUCUGUGAAGGUGCUGCAUGGUUGUCGUCAGCUCGUGCCGUGAGGUGUCGGCUUAAGUGCCAUAACGAGCGCAACCCUUGUUGUCAGUUACUAACAGGUUUCGCUGAGGACUCUGACAAGACUGCCAUCGUAAGAUGUGAGGAAGGUGGA